rnacentral:rRNA from 1 species
UACGGAGGGGGCUAGCGUUGUUCGGAAUUACUGGGCGUAAAGCGCACGUAGGCGGCUUUGUAAGUUAGAGGUGAAAGCCCAGGGCUUAACCCUGGAAUUGCCUUUAAGACUGCAUCGCUAGAAUUGUGGAGAGGUAAGUGGAAUUCCGAGUGUAGAGGUGAAAUUCGUAGAUAUUCGGAAGAACACCAGUGGCGAAGGCGGCUCACUGGACCGUUGUUGACGCUAAGGUGCGAAAGCGUGGGGAGCAAACAGG